GUGGAUGGUCCACGGCCGUCCACAAGCUCAAAUGACCAUAUAUGGAGAAAAAGGCGGGACCAAAGCAAAUAGGCUUGCAAUGCGCAUGCCCAAGCAAAACCGAUUUAACACCUGGCGCCGUGACCGGGAUGCAGAUUCUAAGCAGAUGGGCCAAAAUGGGGGCAGCUAGAGAGACUUGCCUAGAACUGACAAGCCUGGAGGGAGCUGGUUGACUGUUGGCGAGAUGGGACAACAGACGAAGAAUAAACGAACCUACUUGAUUUGAUAAACAUUUGUAUGUUUUUGCAGUUUCGUCGGAAGACGUUUCCCACCAACCAUCCUGUCUUGAAAGAAAUAACUUUUGAACCUGAUUAUCUGAUAUUUUCCAGUUUCCCCUCACAACAAUUUGCAUUAAACCUCUUGUCUG